CCUACGGGGGGCAGCAGUGGGGAAUAUUGGACAAUGGGGGCAACCCUGAUCCAGCCAUGCCGCGUGUGUGAAGAAGGCCCUCGGGUUGUAAAGCACUUUCAGUGAGGAAGAACGCCUGGUGGUUAAUACCCAUCAGGAAAGACAUCACUCACAGAAGAAGCACCGGCUAACUCCGUGCCAGCAGCCGCGGUAAUACGGAGGGUGCGAGCGUUAAUCGGAAUUACUGGGCUUAAAGCGCGCGUAGGUGGCUUGAUAAGCCGGUUGUGAAAGCCCCGGGCUCAACCUGGGAACGGCAUCCGGAACUGUCAAGCUAGAGUGCAGGAGAGGAAGGUAGAAUUCCCGGUGUAGCGGUGAAAUGCGUAGAGAUCGGGAGGAAUACCAGUGGCGAAGGCGGCCUUCUGGACUGACACUGACACUGAGGUGCGAAAGCGUGGGUAGCAAACAGGAUUAGAUACCCUGGUAGUC
rnacentral:rRNA from 1 species